UACGAAGGGGGCUAGCGUUGCUCGGAAUCACUGGGCGUAAAGGGUGCGUAGGCGGGUCUUUAAGUCAGGGGUGAAAUCCUGGAGCUCAACUCCAGAACUGCCUUUGAUACUGAAGAUCUUGAGUCGGGAGAGGUGAGUGGAACUGCGAGUGUAGAGGUGAAAUUCGUAGAUAUUCGCAAGAACACCAGUGGCGAAGGCGGCUCACUGGCCCGGUACUGACGCUGAGGUGGACGAAAGCGGUGGGGAGCGAACAGG
rnacentral:rRNA from 1 species